GGCCCUGAUAGGAACGAUGUGGAGAUUUUUGCCCCCUGCCCCCAUCGCCAGCCCUGCCCCCGCCUGCAACACAACAAGAUCUGCUCCUUCGCCCAGCGCUUUGGGCCCCCACCCAGCCAUGAGCGUGAGCUGGUUUCCUUCCUGAUCGCCCGGAGGGUGGGAAACCCAGCAGCUGUGACGUCACCGGAAGUGGCCGCCAUGACGUCACAGGGGGAAGCGAUGACGUCACAGGAGGAAGCGAUGACAUCAGCACCAGAGGGGGGAUGGGCGAGGGUGACGGCCCCCGUGCGUCCCCGCCCUCGGCACGUCCCGCUGUCUUUGUGCUGUCCCGACGGGGUCUUGAGGAGGGUGACGGUGACGGCAGCGCGACACGGACGGAUGCUGUACCGCCAGGCACGCACCAGCCGCUGGGGGGACCUCCUGCCAUUCCCUGAUGGCGUUGGGAGUGACGUCACGCCCACCGACGCAAUAAAAAGCGGUGAUAAGUAG
rnacentral:lncRNA from 1 species